GAUGAAGAACGCAGCGAAAUGCGAUAAGUAAUGUGAAUUGCAGAAUUCAGUGAAUCAUCGAAUCUUUGAACGCACAUUGCGCCCCCUGGUAUUCCGGGGGGCAUGCCUGUUCGAGCGUCAUUUCACCACUCAAGCCUCGCUUGGUAUUGGGCAACGCGGUCCCCCGCGUGCCUCAAAUCGUCCGGCUGGGUCUUCUGUCCCCUAAGCGUUGUGGAAACUAUUCGCUAAAGGGUGUUCGGGAGGCUACGCCGUAAAACAACCCCAUUUCUAAGGUUGACCUCGGAUCAGGUAGGGAUACCCGCUGAACUUAAGCAUAUCAAUAAGCGGAGGA
rnacentral:misc_RNA from 1 species